AAAAACAUCGCCUCUUGCAAAAUUAAUGAAUAAGAGGUCCCGCCUGCCCUGUGACUAUAUGUUUAACGGCCGCGGUAUUCUGACCGUGCGAAGGUAGCGCAAUCACUUGUCUUUUAAAUGAAGACCCGUAUGAAUGGCAUGACGAGGGCUUAACUGUCUCCUUUUUCAGGUCAAUGAAUUUGAUCUUCCCGUGCAGAAGCGGGGAUAAAACCAUAAGACGAGAAGACCCUAUGGAGCUUUAGACACCAAGGCAGCUCAAAGUUAAGCACCCCUGAAUAGAGGACUAAAUGUAUUGAAACCUGCCCUAAUGUCUUCGGUUGGGGCGACCGCGGGGAAACAAAUAACCCCCACGUGGAAUAGAGACACCCUCUCCUAAAACAGAGAGCUCCCGCUCUAAUGAACAGAACCUUUCUGACCAGUAAGAUCCGGCAGAGCCGAUCAACGGACCAAGUUACCCUAGGGAUAACAGCGCAAUCCCCUUUUAGAGCCCAUAUCGACAAGGGGGUUUACGACCUCGAUGUUGGAUCAGGACAUCCUAAAUGGAGCAGCC
rnacentral:rRNA from 1 species